GGCUUAGUUGAAACCGAAGAUGCUAUGAUGGCUAGAUUUUUAGGUGGUUUGAAUCGUGAUAUUCAGGAUAUAUUGGACUAUAAGGAGUACAAUUCUAUUACUCGUUUGUUUCAUUUUGCUUGUAAAGCUGAAAGGGAAGUACAGGGACGACACAACAAGGGACGAAGUAACUUUUCUGCAGGUCGCCGCUCAUCAUGGACACCCUCUCCUACUAUUCCGUCCACUACUGAGUCAACACCACCUAUCUUGCACAAUGGUGCACACCCAUCAAGUUCAAAAUCAGCUCCACAAUCAUCCGAGGCUUCGAAAGCAAUUUCUCUAGCACCCACCACUUCGUCUGGACGCACAAGGGACAUGAAGUGUCAUAUAUGCAACGGUGGCGGGCACUUGAUGAAGGACUACCCAAAUAAACGAACAUUCAUUGUGCGGGAAGACGGUGAGUACUCCUCUGCUAGUGAUUUGGAUGAAGAUACACAUGCUAUGCUUGCCACUAAUAAUGCAGGUGACACUAAGGAGCAUGACACAGAGGAGAUACAUAUUAAUGCUGAGAUGGCCGAUCAGUACCCAAGCCUUGUAACCAUGCGAGUACUUAGUGCCCAGGUGGGGCAUGUUGAGAUGCCUCGACGUCAUAAUCUUUUUCAAACUAAGUUUGUUGUCAGAGGACAUUCGGUUCGUGUGAUCAUUGAUGGUGGAAGCUGCAAUAAUUUGGCGAGUAUGGAGAUGGUAGAGAAGCUUUCCCUCACCACUACGAGACAUCCCCAUCCAUAUUACAUCCAAUGGUUCAACGAAUGUGGUAAGUUGAAGGUGACACGUCGUGUGCGAGUUCAUUUUACACUUGGUUCAUAUCAUGAUUACGUUAACUGUGAUGUCGUAUAUAUGCAAGCUUGUUCUUUAUUGUUAGGUCGACCUUGGCAAUAUGAUAAUAGUGUUAUCCAUCAUGGUAGAAAAAAUUCGUAUACUCUCGUGUUUGAAGGAAAAACCAUUAACUUGCUUCCUAUGAGCCCCGAUGAGAUAAUAAAUUGUGACCAAUCUAAAUCGAUGGAUCGUACUAUGCAUAGUAUGCUUGCUACCAAUUCUGAAAAAUUUCCAUUAAGUGUCUCAACUUCUGAUUUGUUGAUGCCUUGUGUUCUAGUAGUAUCUAUGAGUUCACUUAAUUUAUCUAUAGAUAUUGCGUGGAAGCAAAUCAAUUGUUCGCCUGAUAAUUUUUGUUCUUUCUCUAGUGUCUUGCCUGCACCCAUUAGUGAACGUAGUACUGUAUACUUUUCUCUGCAUGACACGAAUGAUGAGUUACAUGGCAGUUUGCAGUCU
rnacentral:rRNA from 1 species